rnacentral:rRNA from 1 species
CUAUACAUGACUCUGCGCAUAUCAAUAAGCGGAGGAAAAGAAACUAACAAGGAUUCCCCUAGUAACGGCGAGUGAAGCGGGAAGAGCUCAAAUUUGAAAUCUUAAAGGGUUUCCCUUUACGAAUUGUAGUUUAAAGAAGUGUUUUCUGUUGAGGUUUUGGUAAAAGCUCUUUGGAAUAGGACAUCAUAGAGGGUGAGAAUCCCGUAUUUGACCUUUACUUUCAACUUUGUGAUACACUUUCAAAGAGUCGGAUUGUUUGGGAAUGCAGUCCAAAAUGGGUGGUAAAUUUCAUCUAAAGCUAAAUAUUGGCGAGAGACCGAUAGCGAACAAGUACCGUGAGGGAAAGAUGAAAAGAACUUUGAAAAGAGAGUUAAACAGUACGUGAAAUUGUCAAAAGGGAAGCGUUUGACACCAGUGUUGUUUUUCUGAAAAUCAAUUAAAGAACUGUUUAUGCUAAGUUGUUUAGACUUUAUCAGCUACUGUUUAGUUUUGAGCUUUUCUUUAAUGCACUUUUCCAGUUAACAAGUCAACAUCAAUUUCUUUUGCUGUAAAAAAGCUUGAGGAAGGUGGCUUGAGAUUCGUCUUAAGUGUUUAUAGCCUCUUGCCUAUGCAGUCGGAGAGAUUGAGGUCUGCAGCGUAGAUCCUUCGGGGCUAAAUGCAUUUGUGCUAAGUUAUAGCAUUUUAUAGACAACUUGUUGACUAUGAUUUGUCUUGUAGCUUACUCGCUUAUGUUAUUUUACCUACGCUUAGGAUGUUGACAGCAGUAUAGACUGU